rnacentral:rRNA from 1 species
CAGCAGCCGCGGUAAAACGCAGGUGGCAAGCGUUGUCCGGAAUUAUUGGGCGUAAAGGGCUCGCAGGCGGUUUCUUAAGUCUGAUGUGAAAGCCCCCGGCUCAACCGGGGAGGGUCAUUGGAAACUGGGAAACUUGAGUGCAGAUGAGGAGAGUGGAAUUCCACGUGUAGCGGUGAAAUGCGUAGAGAUGUGGAGGAACACCAGUGGCGAAGGCGACUCUCUGGUCUGUAACUGACGCUGAGGAGCGAAAGCGUGGGGAGCGAACAGGAUUAGAUACCCCCGUAGUCCCUGUCUCUUAUAC